AUUGAACGCUGGCGGCAUGCCUUACACAUGCAAGUCGAACGGUAACAGGUUAAGCUGACGAGUGGCGAACGGGUGAGUAAUGUAUCGGAACGUGCCCAGUCGUGGGGGAUAACUGCUCGAAAGAGCAGCUAAUACCGCAUACGACCUGAGCGUGAAAGCGGGGGAUCGCAAGACCUCGCGCGAUUGGAGCGGCCGAUAUCAGAUUAGGUAGUUGGUGAGGUAAAGGCUCACCAAGCCGACGAUCUGUAGCUGGUCUGAGAGGACGACCAGCCACACUGGGACUGAGACACGGCCCAGACUCCUACGGGAGGCAGCAGUGGGGAAUUUUGGACAAUGGGCGCAAGCCUGAUCCAGCCAUGCCGCGUGCGGGAAGAAGGCCUUCGGGUUGUAAACCGCUUUUGUCAGGGAAGAAAAGGUUCUGGCUAAUACCUGGGACUCAUGACGGUACCUGAAGAAUAAGCACCGGCUAACUACGUG
rnacentral:rRNA from 1 species